rnacentral:misc_RNA from 1 species
CAACCCUCAAGCUUCUGCUUGGUAUUGGGCCCCGUCCGCCUCGGACGUGCCCGAAACUCGUAGGCGGUGGCGCCCAGCUCCCAGCGUAGUCAAGUACACCGCUUCGGAGGCCUGGGUGUCGCCCGCCGGACAACCACAUCUUUCUCAAG